rnacentral:rRNA from 1 species
UACGGGGGGGGGCAAGCGUUGUUCGGAAUUACUGGGCGUAAAGGGCUCGUAGGCGGCCAACUAAGUCGGAUGUGAAAUCCCCAGGCUCAACCUGGGAACUGCAUCCGAUACUGGAUGGCUUGAAUCCGGGAGAGGGAUGCAGAAUUCCAGGUGUAGCGGUGAAAUGCGUAGAUAUCUGGAGGAAUACCGGUGGCGAAGGCGGCAUCCUGGACCGACGUUGACGCUGAGGAGCGAAAGCUAGGGGAGCAAACGGG